GUGGGGAAUAUUGGACAAUGGGCGAAAGCCUGAUCCAGCCAUGCCGCGUGUGUGAAGAAGGUCUUCGGAUUGUAAAGCACUUUAAGUUGGGAGGAAGGGCAGUAAGUUAAUACCUUGUUGUUUUGACGUUACCGACAGAAUAAGCACCGGCUAACUUCGUGCCAGCAGCCGCGGUAAUACGAAGGGUGCAAGCGUUAAUCGGAAUUACUGGGCGUAAAGCGCGCGUAGGUGGUUUUGUAAGUUGGAGGUGAAAUCCCCGGGCUCAACCUGGGAACUGCCUCCAAAACUGCAUGACUAGAGUACGGUAGAGGGUAGUAGAAUUUCCUGUGUAGCGGUGAAAUGCGUAGAUAUAGGAAGGAACACCAGUGGCGAAGGCGACUACCUGGACUGAUACUGACACUGAGGUGCGAAAGCGUGGGGAGCAAACAGGAUUAGAAACCCGUGUAGUCC
rnacentral:rRNA from 1 species